UACCCGGCAGGCGGGCAGUUCACGCCGGCGCCCAGCAGAGCUAGGGAACCCUCCGGGAGAAGCCCGGGCACCAGUGCGAGGACGAUAUGUGCCUCCGGUUCCCGGGAGGAAAGAGCUGGAGAGAGCCGGAGCCGAGCAGCACUUCACGCCGAAGUUUCCCCCUUUGAAUCGUCUGGAGUUCUCUCUCUCUCUCUGCUUCUUGUCCAUCAUGACAUGUUCAGUCUCCUCUUCCUGCACAGGGUUCUGCUGCCAUGAUCUUCUGCCUUUCCAUGGGUUCAGAACCAGCAGAGCCCAUGAUUAUGGAUGGACUGGAAUCUCUGAAACAGUGAGCCUAAGUCCUUUCCCCAUACUUGUUUCUGCCAGACAUUUUGUCACAGGGAAAAACAAGUCACUAUGCUUCUGUUGUAACAGUCAAUAAACAGUUGCCUAAUGUAAGA
rnacentral:lncRNA from 1 species